GAUCCUGGCUCAGAGUGAACGCUGGCGGCAGGCCUAACACAUGCAAGUCGAGCGGCAGCGGGAGGUAGCUUGCUACCUUGCCGGCGAGCGGCGGACGGGUGAGGAAUGCAUCGGAAUCUGCCCCGUUGUGGGGGAUAACGUAGGGAAACUUACGCUAAUACCGCAUACGACCUACGGGUGAAAGUGGGGGACCUUCGGGCCUCACGCGAUGGGAUGAGCCGAUGCCGGAUUAGCUGGUUGGUGGGGUAACGGCCCACCAAGGCGACGAUCCGUAGCUGGUCUGAGAGGAUGAUCAGCCACACUGGGACUGAGACACGGCCCAGACUCCUACGGGAGGCAGCAGUGGGGAAUAUUGGACAAUGGGCGCAAGCCUGAUCCAGCCAUGCCGCGUGUGUGAAGAAGGCCUUCGGGUUGUAAAGCACUUUUGUUGGGGAAGAAAUCGAGCGGGUUAAUACCCUGAUCGGAUGACGGUACCCAAAGAAUAAGCACCGGCUAACUUC
rnacentral:rRNA from 1 species